AGAGUUUGAUCAUGGCUCAGGAUGAACGCUAGCGGCAGGCUUAAUACAUGCAAGUCGUGGGGCAGCAGGAGUAGCAAUACUUGCUGGCGACCGGCAAACGGGUGCGUAACACGUACGCAACCUUCCUACAGGCGGGGAAUAGCCCAGAGAAAUUUGGAUUAAUACCCCAUAAAAUUUUGAGAUGGCAUCAUCUUAUUAUUAAAGCUUCGGCACCUGAAGAUGGGCGUGCGGCUGAUUAGGUAGUUGGCGGGGUAACGGCCCACCAAGCCUUCGAUCAGUAGCUGAUGUGAGAGCAUGAUCAGCCACACGGGCACUGAGACACGGGCCCGACUCCUACGGGAGGCAGCAGUAAGGAAUAUUGGUCAAUGGACGAAAGUCUGAACCAGCCAUGCCGCGUGGAGGAUGAAGGUCCUCUGGAUUGUAAACUUCUUUUAUUUGGGACGAAAAAAGGGAAUUCUUUCCCACUUGACGGUACCAGAUGAAUAAGCACCGGCUAACUCCGUGCCAGCAGCCGCGGUAAUACGGAGGGUGCAAGCGUUAUCCGGAUUCACUGGGUUUAAAGGGUGCGUAGGCGGAUAGGUAAGUCCGUGGUGAAAUCCUGCAGCUUAACUGCAGAACUGCCAUGGAUACUAUUUAUCUUGAAUGUCGUGGAGGUUAGCGGAAUAUGUCAUGUAGCGGUGAAAUGCUUAGAUAUGACAUAGAACACCCAUUGCGAAGGCAGCUAACUACGCGAAUAUUGACGCUGAGGCACGAAAGCGUGGGGAUCAAACAGGAUUAGAUACCCCAGUAGUCC
rnacentral:rRNA from 1 species